rnacentral:rRNA from 1 species
GACGAACGCUGGCGGCGUGCCUAAUACAUGCAAGUCGAGCGAAGCGGCGGAUUGGUGAAUAACGCGUAGGUAACCUGCCCUUAAGUCUGGGAUACCAUUUGGAAACGGAUACUAAUACCAGCUACUACAGGAUGGACCUGCGAUGAAGUAGCUAGUUGGUAAGGUAACGGCUUACCAAGCAGAUGAUGCAUAGCCGAUUUGAGAGACUGAUCGGCCACAUUGGGACUGAGACACGGCCCAAACUCCUACGGGAGGCAGCAGUAGGGAAUCUUCCACAAUGGGCGCAAGCCUGAUGCAGCCAUGCCGCGUGUAUGAAGAAGGCCUUCGGGUUGUAAAGUACUUUCAGCGAGGAGGCGUUACUCGCAGAAGAAGCACCGGCUAACUACGUGCCAGCAGCCGCGGUAAUAC